CCUACGGGUGGCUGCAGUGAGGAAUAUUGGUCAAUGGGCGCGAGCCUGAACCAGCCAAGUAGCGUGAAGGAUGACUGCCCUACGGGUUGUAAACUUCUUUUAUAAAGGAAUAAAGUGAGGCACGUGUGCCUUUUUGUAUGUACUUUAUGAAUAAGGAUCGGCUAACUCCGUGCCAGCAGCCGCGGUAAUACGGAGGAUCCGAGCGUUAUCCGGAUUUAUUGGGUUUAAAGGGAGCGUAGAUGGGUUGGUAAGUCAGUUGUGAAAGUUUGCGGCUCAACCGUAAAAUUGCAAUUGAUACUGGCAGCCUUGAGUACAGUUGAGGUAGGCGGAAUUCGAGGUGUAGCGGUAAAAUGCUUAGAUAUCACGAAGAACUCCGGUUGCGAAGGCAGCUUACUAGACUGCCACUGACAUUGAUGCUCGAAAGUGUGGGUAUCAAACAGGAUUAGAUACCCCAGUAGUC
rnacentral:rRNA from 1 species